rnacentral:tRNA from 1 species
GGAUUGUGGCUCAGUGGUAGAGUGCUCACCUAGCAUGUUCGAGACCUGGGUUCAAUCCUCAGCACCA